UCGCCUCAACGUUCCUCUUCACGGUUAUUUGGUCGCCUCAUAAUUUGAUUCGACGCCACUUUCCCUGGCUGCACAAAAACACUUCGGUUGGAUAGUCCUCGCUAGAGGACUAUUAAUAAAGCCAACUUUCCGUGUACUGAGUCACGGGACGAGGAGGAUUCACCCCGUUCCAGUAAUUCGUAAAUACGACGCAUUUGCGACGCGCAUUUUAUUACGUACGUAUGCGAGACAAUAAAACGGGGUCCCGUUGCGGACGAGUUCAACUCGAGAACCGAAAUUUCCCUCCGCAGGGAAACGCGGGAAAGUUUUCCAACUACGAAAGAGAAGCGACCGGAUCGAUAGCGACAGCACGAUCGCGAUGCGCCCGCCGCGUGUACGACAAUGAAACGUUCCGGAUUCGCUCGGUGAUCCCCUGGUACUACCUAUGCCACCACCGCGAGCAUCCGCACACUGAUACACAACCAUACAACCAAACAGAUAGAUAUACGCUAUACACGCGUGCCCUCCUCAUAUACACCUUCACUACGCGAACGAUGUGGACUGACACUCCGCAACAACGAUUACUAUUCUUCAGAAACACACGGUUUCUGCAUUCACCGGCCCGUGAAUCCGUAUACGAGCACACACGGUGCCGAUGUACACGAAGACUGUACAGUGAACGUCAUCAACCGAAGAACAAGGCUACGUUUAACUUGCGAGCUUGACUCCACGUUUUUUUCCUACAUACGAUUGUAAUUAGCGUUCAACAUACUAUAAGAAUCAACUCGGUGUUGUCUAUACGAGGCACGUAUGCACUGUUCAUCGAUCACAAAAAUUCAUGACAUAGCUUAUACGAACGUCCGUGCAUUGUAUAAACGUAACAUGGAGAUAUAUAUUCUGCAUUGUGUCGAAACUGAUGGCAUCGAAUAAAAAAGAAGAAAACAUAAUGAUAGUCGGAGCUCAAGCAUUAGCCAAUGUUAUGGAAUCAAGAUAAUCCUGCUCUAUUCGUUUGUAAAUGGGUUACUGCUAAGAAAUUUCUUUAAUGCACAAAUAAAUGUUUAUAUCAGAUCGUCACGGUUUCCGCACUACUGCGAAUAAAUAACUGUUUACGGUUCUUACCAUUUUGUACUUAACUAACAAUAAAACUCUUUUUCUAGAA